rnacentral:rRNA from 1 species
UACGAAGGGGGCUAGCGUUGCUCGGAAUCACUGGGCGUAAAGGGCGCGUAGGCGGCCUCUUAAGUCGGGGGUGAAAGCCCAGGGCUCAACCCUGGAAUUGCCUUCGAUACUGAGAGUCUUGAGUUCGGAAGAGGUUGGUGGAACUGCGAGUGUAGAGGUGAAAUUCGUAGAUAUUCGCAAGAACACCAGUGGCGAAGGCGACUUGCUGGGUUGCACCUGACGCUGAGAUGCGAAAGUGUGGGGAGCAAACGGG